GAGUUUGAUCCUGGCUCAGGAUGAACGCUGGCGGCGUGCCUAAUACAUGCAAGUCGAGCGAACGGACGAGAAGCUUGCUUCUCUGAUGUUAGCGGCGGACGGGUGAGUAACACGUGGGUAACCUACCUAUAAGACUGGGAUAACUCCGGGAAACCGGGGCUAAUACCGGAUAACACAUGAAACCGCAUGGUUUCAUGAUGAAAGACGGUCUUGCUGUCACUUAUAGAUGGAUCCGCGCUGCAUUAGCUAGUUGGUAAGGUAACGGCUUACCAAGGCAACGAUGCAUAGCCGACCUGAGAGGGUGAUCGGCCACACUGGAACUGAGACACGGUCCAGACUCCUACGGGAGGCAGCAGUAGGGAAUCUUCCGCAAUGGGCGAAGCCUGACGGAGCAACGCCGCGUGAGUGAUGAAGGUCUUCGGAUCGUAAAACUCUGUUAUUAGGGAGAACAUAUGUGUAAGUAACUGUGCACAUCUUGACGGUACCUAAUCAG
rnacentral:rRNA from 1 species